CGGCGUGCUUACCUGCAAGUCGAGCGGUAAGGCCCUUCGGGGUACACGAGCGGCGAACGGGUGAGUAACACGUGAGCAACCUGCCCCUGACUCUGGGAUAAGCGGUGGAAACGCCGUCUAAUACCGGAUACGACCUGUCGUCUCAUGACGGUGGGUGGAAAGUUUUUCGGUCAGGGAUGGGCUCGCGGCCUAUCAGCUUGUUGGUGGGGUAACGGCCUACCAAGGCGAUUACGGGUAGCCGGCCUGAGAGGGCGACCGGCCACACUGGGACUGAGACACGGCCCAGACUCCUGCGGGAGGCAGCAGUGGGGAAUAUUGCGCAAUGGGCGAAAGCCUGACGCAGCGACGCCGCGUGGGGGAUGACGGCCUUCGGGUUGUAAACCUCUUUUACCACCAACGCAGGCUUCCGGUUUUCCGGGGGUUGACGGUAGGUGGGGAAUAAGGACCGGCUAACUACGUGCCAGCAGCCGCGGUAAUACGUAGGGUCCGAGCGUUGUCCGGAAUUAUUGGGCGUAAAGAGCUCGUAGGCGGCGUGUCGCGUCUGCUGUGAAAGACCGGGGCUUAACUCCGGUUCUGCAGUGGAUACGGGCAUGCUAGAGGUAGGUAGGGGAGACUGGAAUUCCUGGUGUAGCGGUGAAAUGCGCAGAUAUCAGGAGGAACACCGGUGGCGAAGGCGGGUCUCUGGGCCUUACCUGACGCUGAGGAGCGAAAGCAUGGGGAGCGAACAGGAUUAGAUACCCUGGUAGUCCAUGCCGUAAACGUUGGGCGCUAGGUGUGGGGACUUUCCACGGUUUCCGCGCCGUAGCUAACGCAUUAAGCGCCCCGCCUGGGGAGUACGGCCGCAAGGCUAAAACUCAAAGGAAUUGACGGGGGCCCGCACAAGCGGCGGAGCAUGUUGCUUAAUUCGACG
rnacentral:rRNA from 1 species